rnacentral:lncRNA from 10 species
GGACUUCCAGUACCAUGCUGAACAAUGACGGGAAAAGUAGGUAUCCUUGUUGUGUCCCAGAAGUUAGAGGGUCUAGAUCUUGAAGAUUCAGUGCUUGAAUUCCUCAGACAGAAGUUCUUAUUCAGAAUGACUUGCUAUUUCAUUUCCAUGUGUAUGCUUUGAGGCCACUUGUCUAAAAAAGGAUAAUUUUUUUUGCCAUUUGUAAAACUAAAUCU